AUUCUCACUCCCAACUCAUCACAUAUGGAUGUUUGGUCAGUGCCCCUUUGUGCCACUAUGUGAUGAGUUAGCUAGCCCCUUUAGUGACACAUUUGG